rnacentral:rRNA from 1 species
GACGAAGGGGGCUAGCGUUGUUCGGAAUUACUGGGCGUAAAGCGCACGUAGGCGGCUAUUCAAGUCGGGGGUGAAAGCCCGGGGCUCAACCCCGGAACUGCCCUCGAAACUAGAUAGCUAGAAUCUUGGAGAGGCGAGUGGAAUUCCGAGUGUAGAGGUGAAAUUCGUAGAUAUUCGGAAGAACACCAGUGGCGAAGGCGACUCGCUGGACAAGUAUUGACGCUGAGGUGCGAAAGCGUGGGGAGCAAACAGG